AUUGAACGCUGGCGGCAGGCCUAACACAUGCAAGUCGAGCGAGUGGCGGACGGGUGAGUAAUGUAUGGGUACCGCCCGAUAGAGGGGGAUCACUACUGGAAACGGUGGCUAAUACCGCAUUCUAUCGGGUAACCUAUAUGGGAUUAGCUAGUAGGUGGGGUAAAGGCUCACCUAGGCGACGAUCUCUAGCUGGUCUGAGAGGAUGAACAGCCACACUGGGACUGAGACACGGCCCAGACUCCUACGGAGGCAGCAGUGGGGAAUAUUGCACAAUGGGCGCAAGCCUGAUACAGCCAUGCCGCGUGUAUGAAGAAGGCCUUAGGGUUGUAAAGUACUUUCAGCGGGGAGGCGUUACCCGCAGAAGAAGCACCGGCUAACUCCGUGCCAGCAGCCGCGGUAAUAC
rnacentral:rRNA from 1 species